CGUAAACGAUGAGUGCUAAGUGUUAGGGGUUUCCCCCUUAGUGCUGCAGCUAACGCAUUAAGCACUCCGCUCGGGGAGUACGACCGCAAGGUUGAAACUCAAAGGAAUUGACGGGGGCCCGCACAGCGGUGGAGCAUGUGGUUUAAUUCGAAGCAACGCGAAGAACCUUACCAGGUCUUGACAUCCUUUGACCACUCUAGAGAUAGAGCUUUCCCUUCGGGGACAAAGUGACAGGUGGUGCAUGGUGUCGUCAGCUCGUGUCGUGAGAUGUUGGGUUAAGUCCCGCAACGAGCGCAACCCUUAUUGUUAGUUGCCAUCAUUAAGUUGGGCACUCUAGCGAGACUGCCGGUGACAAACCGGAGGAAGGUGGGGAUGACGUCAAAUCAUCAUGCCCCUUAUGACCUGGGCUACACACGUGCUACAAUGGACAGUACAAUGAGCAGCGACACGGCGACGUGAAGCGAAUCUCAUAAAGCUGUUCUCAGUUCGGAUUGUAGGCUGCAACUCGCCUACAUGAAGCCGGAAUCGCUAGUAAUCGCGGAUCAGCACGCCGCGGUGAAUACGUUCCCGGGCCUUGUACACACCGCCCGUCACACCACGAAAGUUUGUAACACCCGAAGUCGGUGAGGUAACCGCAAGGAGCCAACCGCCUAAGGUGGGAUAGAUGAUUGGGGUGAAGUCGUAACAAGGUAACCAAGGGCGAAUUCCAG
rnacentral:rRNA from 1 species